AGGGGAGGUGACUUAGGUGAGCAACGUCAAUAUAAAUUUUAAUGACGAAUCACAAACAACUCAACACAUAAUGGAGGCCAUCCAAAUUGACGGGUACUUGAGUGUUUCAGGACCACUAAAAUGUUAAUAUAUCCUCUUGGUUUGAUUGUAUACUACCAAACUUGAAAUAUGCAUCAUGACAUCUACAUACUUCAUUUUCUGUUAAUAUAUUUCCAACCUUCUAAAGUGCUCUACAAUAUCUACUACUGUCUGUCUAAGUGUCUUUGACGUCCAGGCCAGCAAACUCCACCAGAACUUAGAUGGGGUUGGUGUGGAGCCUAAGGUCAUUAAUAUCUAUCAAAGAACAUUAAUCCAAAAUUUGUAGGAGGUCAACAGCUUCCCACGAACCUUUCUAUUUCAUACUUGUGUGUGCAUAACUAUUCCAACACUAACUAGGCUAGACUUGCAGGACGCUUAUAUUUGAAUGCAAUUUCAGGGACCAAUUUCCACUUCGACAAAGAACUUCGGUGAGGAUGGUGUCACCAGCUCUGCAAGUUAUACCAAAUAUGGAGAUGUUCAGAAAAUUGAAACUGUUACGGUGCUCAAGCUUAAUGCGUACGUGCUGAAAUCUCGCUGCAGGUUUCUGAGUUCCUUUGCACCAACAAAGUAGACGCCACUGAAACCACCAAUGGAUGGUGCUACAUUUUCUGCUACAAAUGUUCAAGAAAGCUACAGCGAGGAUUCCCUUCACUCACAUGCACCUAUUAUCAUAACUCUAGCACUAUUGGUGUUGUCAGGUAUUGCCCGGUAGAUUUAUCUCACUUCUCACUUUUUAAAAUAUUCACUAAACAAGCCAUCUAACAUUCUCCCAUUGGCGUUUUAAAAUUUUGCAAACCGUGUGGAGAUUUGUGUCUCUGAUGCGAGAGAGUCAUCCAUGUUUGACUACAAAUUGGUAUUUCAAUAUUUACAUACACAAGCUACGUAAUGAUGUUUACAUUCUUUUCAUUAAAAUGCAGGCUGCAAGUGUUGCAAACCCUCUAGAGUCUGAGGUUUCACAAUUUCUCCAAGAAAUAGUUGUGAGACGUUUGAUUUUCAAUUGAAGCUUUUUGAGUUCAUUUUCAACUCCAAACAUCAAUCAUUCACUGUGUCCCACAUAUUUUAUUGUCAUCAGCGUCCCCUACUGAAACUUUUACUUAGGAAAGUUUUACGCCCUAUUUGGCGUGACUGGGAAAGAAAUUGGUGUGUUUUCAGUCGCUGGGAAGUGAGAAGGAAUAUGCAGGGACAGCACUAUCACCGGAUUCAUUUGAUUAUUUAGUCCCCGCGUCUUUUGUUUCAAACUCCAAAUGAAGAAAAUAUCAUUAACAUUUUCUGUCGCUGAUGCUAAUCGUUGCGUUCUUGAAACGAACACACCCUUAAUAUGUUAA